rnacentral:rRNA from 1 species
UAACACAUGCAAGUCGAACGGUAGCACAGAGAGCUUGCUCUCGGGUGACGAGUGGCGGACGGGUGAGUAAUGUCUGGGAAACUGCCUGAUGGAGGGGGAUAACUACUGGAAACGGUAGCUAAUACCGCAUAACGUCGCAAGACCAAAGAGGGGGACCUUCGGGCCUCUUGCCAUCAGAUGUGCCCAGAUGGGAUUAGCUAGUAGGUGGGGUAACGGCUCACCUAGGCGACGAUCCCUAGCUGGUCUGAGAGGAUGACCAGCCACACUGGAACUGAGACACGGUCCAGACUCCUACGGGAGGCAGCAGUGGGGAAUAUUGCACAAUGGGCGCAAGCCUGAUGCAGCCAUGCCGCGUGUAUGAAGAAGGCCUUCGGGUUGUAAAGUACUUUCAGCGGGGAGGAAGGCGAUAAGGUUAAUAACCUUGUCGAUUGACGUUACCCGCAGAAGAAGCACCGGCUAACUCCGUGCCAGCAGCCGCGGUAAUACGGAGGGUGCAAGCGUUAAUCGGAAUUACUGGGCGUAAAGCGCACGCAGGCGGUCUGUCAAGUCGGAUGUGAAAUCCCCGGGCUCAACCUGGGAACUGCAUUCGAAACUGGCAGGCUGGAGUCUUGUAGAGGGGGGUAGAAUUCCAGGUGUAGCGGUGAAAUGCGUAAAGAUCUGGAGGAAUACCGGUGGCGAAGGCGGCCCCCUGGACAAAGUCUGACGCUUAAGUGCGAAAGNGUGGGGAGCAAACAGGAUUAGAUACCCUGGUAGUCCACGCUGUAAACGAUGUCGACUUGGAGGUUGUUCCCUUGAGGAGUGGCUUCCGGAGCUAACGCGUUAAGUCGACCGCCUGGGGAGUACGGCCGCAAGGUUAAAACUCAAAUGAAUUGACGGGGGCCCGCACAAGCGGUGGAGCAUGUGGUUUAAUUCGAUGCAACGCGAAGAACCUUACCUACUCUUGACAUCCAGAGAACUUAGCAGAGAUGCUUUGGUGCCUUCGGGAACUCUGAGACAGGUGCUGCAUGGCUGUCGUCAGCUCGUGUUGUGAAAUGUUGGGUUAAGUCCCGCAACGAGCGCAACCCUUAUCCUUUGUUGCCAGCGAUUCGGUCGGGAACUCAAAGGAGACUGCCAGUGAUAAACUGGAGGAAGGUGGGGAUGACGUCAAGUCAUCAUGGCCCUUACGAGUAGGGCUACACACGUGCUACAAUGGCAUAUACAAAGAGAAGCGACCUCGCGAGAGCAAGCGGACCUCAUAAAGUAUGUCGUAGUCCGGAUUGGAGUCUGCAACUCGACUCCAUGAAGUCGGAAUCGCUAGUAAUCGUGGAUCAGAAUGCCACGGUGAAUACGUUCCCGGGCCUUGUACACACCGCCCGUCACACCAUGGGAGUGGGUUGCAAAAGAAGUAGGUAGCUUAACCUUCGGGAGGGCGCUUACCACUUUGUGAUUCAUGACUGGGGUGAAGUCGUA